rnacentral:rRNA from 1 species
UGGGGAAUAUUGAACAAUGGGCGCAAGCCUGAUGCAGCCAUGCCGCGUGUAUGAAGAAGGCCUUCGGGUUGUAAAGUACUUUCAGCGGGGAGGAAGGGAGUAAAGUUAAUACCUUUGCUCAUUGACGUUACCCGCAGAAGAAGCACCGGCUAACUCCGUGCCAGCAGCCGCGGUAAUACGGAGGGUGCAAGCGUUAAUCGGAAUUACUGGGCGUAAAGCGCACGCAGGCGGUUUGUUAAGUCAGAUGUGAAAUCCCCGGGCUCAACCUGGGAACUGCAUCUGAUACUGGCAAGCUUGAGUCUCGUAGAGGGGGGUAGAAUUCCAGGUGUAGCGGUGAAAUGCGUAGAGAUCUGGAGGAAUACCGGUGGCGAAGGCGGCCCCCUGGACAAAGACUGACGCUCAGGUGCGAAAGCGUGGGGAGCAAACAGG